AGAGUUUGAGAGCAAGCUUAGACCAAGUUGCUAGGUCCCUUACUCGGGGAAUAAGUGCCCCUGAAUAAAACAGUGAUGUGGUCUUUUGCACCCUAGACAAGACCAGAUACUUGCAUCACCCCCAAAAAACUAAAAUCGCCAGCUUUGUGUGUCUCUCUGUCCCUCUCAGCCCUGUGUCUCUUUGCCUCUCUGUGUUUCUUUUUAUCCUCUAAGCUCCUUUAUGUGUGUCUUUUUCUCUCUAAGCCCUUCUGUGUCUGACACCCCACCCCUUCUGUGUGCCUCUUUGCCCCCCUUUGUGUCUGUUCCCCCAAGUUUGUCUCUUUGCCCCUG